rnacentral:rRNA from 1 species
GGUUACUAUGAUUUCGUCGCCACGAUGGACGUGUACGGCUUCAACCUGAGCACUGAGCAGUCCACUUCGGCCUCUGUUCACCUCUUCGACACGGUGAACGGCGCGGAGGCCAGCCUGAACGUAAUUCAGAUCGGCUGGGAGGCGGAUGGAUUUCAGAAAACCGGUUGCCGUAAUGCCGAUUGCGCUGUAGGUUUUCAGCCGGAGAAGGGUGCACCCAUAGCUCCAGGAGGCGUGAUUAAGCCUGUCUCCCAGCCCAUGGGACUCAGACAGACCAUCACAGUUAAAAUUAUUAAGGAGAACCUCACCUUGCUUGUACGUUUUCCUAAAUCACUAUUUAAUGGAGGGAUGGCCAAUCGAGCGGCAGGCAUCCAGUUUGGUGGACAAGUUUUAAGCCCGGCGACAGCUUUGGCUCCGAUGGGGAGUGGCUAUCGCCCCAUGGUUGAUGUGAUGGCCUCCGCUUCGAUGAGCAAUAUCCAGUUGAUUGACCAAAACGGACGUGCCUCACCAAUGACAGACAACUCGCUCAUAUACAUGAGUGAUUCACAUGUCUAUCCCGCCACUCCCAUUGUAAAGGGGCAAUUUUUCUAUGGGGGGCCCAUGAAACCAUCCAACUUACCCGAUUGGGGGCGUGGCUUGCCUCGUGCCACCUCGUUUCUAGGAAACCAGUGGUGGUUUGUCACUCUGUUAGUGGGAUAUUGUUUGAUAGUACAUUAG